rnacentral:lncRNA from 1 species
CCCCCCCCAAUUCACACCCAUUUCCCAAUUUUCUAAUUGAAUUCGCGGGUUGAUUUGCGGAUGCUAUAAGAAUCGUAUGGGGACUAGCUUGGUUGUUGACCCUUGAAGUCUUCGUCUUUGUGGAAAGAGGGAAGCUUUGCUGUUGAUUCAAGAACCCUUCUUUGGGCUCUUUGAUUCUCCUGUGUUUGUGCUACUGAACUAUCUCAGAGUGAUGAAUUGGGUUUCAGUGUUAACUGAUGCUGGAGUUGCUAGGUUCAGUAUCUUGAGCUCUGUUAUCACUCAGUAGCAACUUAGGUGAUUGGGAUGGCUUUCUUAAUGAGUAUGUUGAAUGGACGAGAUCUUGGCAUUUUUGUGCUCUUGUUAUUGUUUAGUUGUAGGUUCAGCCAUGGUGUUGAGAGUGAUAUAAACUGCUUGAGAAGUAUAAAAGCAACAUUGGAGGACCCUUUAGACAUGUUAACCUCUUCAUGGAAUUUUAACAAUGGCACUGAAGGUUUCAUCUGUAACUUUCUGGGAAUAGAGUGUUGGCACCCUCAUGAGAGCAAAGUUUUAAACAUCAAGCUUGCGGAUUUGGGACUCAAAGGCCAGUUUCCUCGCGGAAUAAAGAAUUGUACAAGCUUAACAGGCUUAGAUCUUUCAAGCAACAACCUCAAUGGAACUAUUCCUGAUGAUAUUGAUAAUUUGAUCUAUUACAUUACAUCGCUUGAUCUCUCGUCCAACAACUUCUCAGGGACAAUUCCCAAGAGUAUCUCCAAUAUUACUUUUCUCAAUAUUCUUAAACUUGACAACAACAAGUUAACGGGUCAGAUUCCUGCGGAACUUGGUCAGCUCAAUAGGCUUAAAACAUUUAGCGUGGCCAACAAUCAACUGUCUGGGCCAGUCCCCAACUU